GUCUCCGUAGGUGAACCUGCGGAAGGAUCAUUCAUAAUAAAGUGUUUUAUGGCACUUUUUAAAAAUCCAUAUCCACCUUGUGUGCAAUGUUAGAUCUCGUCAAUCUUGGCGAGAUUUUUAUACAUCAACUCAUUUUUUAACUAAUUUGUCUGAAAAAUAUUAUGAAUACUUAAUUCAAAAUACAACUUUCAACAACGGAUCUCUUGGCUCUC
rnacentral:misc_RNA from 1 species